rnacentral:rRNA from 1 species
CUACGGGUUGCUGCAGUGAGGAAUAUUGCACAAUGGGGGGAACCCUGAUGCAGCAACGCCGCGUGGAGGAUGACGCAUUUCGGUGUGUAAACUCCUUUUAUAUGUCAAGAAAAUGACGGUAGCAUAUGAAUAAGCACCGGCUAACUCCGUGCCAGCAGCCGCGGUAAUACGGAGGGUGCAAGCGUUACUCGGAAUCACUGGGCGUAAAGGACGCGUAGGCGGGGUGGAAAGUCAGGUGUGAAAUCCUACAGCUUAACUGUAGAACUGCACUUGAAACUUCUAAUCUAGAGUAUGGGAGGGGGAGAUGGAAUUAUUGGUGUAGGGGUAAAAUCCGUAGAUAUCACUAGGAAUACCUAAAGCGAAGGCGAUCUCCUGGAACAUUACUGACGCUAAGGCGUGAAAGCGUGGGGAGCAAACAGGAUUAGAUACCCGGGUAGUC